rnacentral:rRNA from 1 species
UACGAAGGGGGCUAGCGUUGCUCGGAAUCACUGGGCGUAAAGCGCACGUAGGCGGAUUGUUAAGUCGGGGGUGAAAUCCUGGAGCUCAACUCCAGAACUGCCUUCGAUACUGGCGAUCUUGAGUCCGGGAGAGGUGAGUGGAACUCCGAGUGUAGAGGUGAAAUUCGUAGAUAUUCGGCAAGAACACCAGUGGCGAAGGCGGCUCACUGGCCCGAUACUGACGCUGAGGCACGAAAGCGUGGGAGCAAACAGG